UGGUUCUGUUGUCUCUUCUAGUGUUCUAAAUUUCUAAUAAUAUACCAAGCGCCCGACCACCUGCGAAGCUUUUGGUUUUGCGGCCAUGGCAGCAGCGGCAUUGUUACUCUCUCCCAUACUCUUCGCCUCUUACCAACCCAUACGAACACAUAUCUCGUCAAUCCAACAAACUUCAGUUCAACUUCCGCCAUUGUCGUCCACUUCUUGUAGAAAUGGAGACCCUUUAGAAGCCACUUGGUGGAGCUGCUUCUGCUGCUGUAUUCCCUUUGUGGGAUACCACUUUGCAACUCAGCGAACCAGAUAAUGCUCUCUCUUAACCUACCUGGGCUGUUCAUGUCUCCAGUGUCGUCGAAUGGAUUUCGGCAAUGGCUCUGGUGUGGCAAUAUGGAGAAAAAUCUGGGAAUGAAUCUUGGAAAGGGCUUUCUUGGGGUAUGGUACCCCUGCUUGGUGGAGCAUUUUGUGCAUGCACAUGCCAUUUCUUUUACAAUUCCGAGUCCCUUGAGGUAUCUAGCUUUAUAAUUCUUUGAAAUUCACAUGAAGCAGUGUUUAAAUUCUCAGUGGUCACCAUUUGGUGCGAUAGUUAAAAGCCAGGCAGUCCAAUGUGAAUACGCAGCUUUUGAGUCUGAGAGCAGCCUAAUGUUAGAACUGUCUAUGGUGACCAUGCGAAAGCAGGAAUUGGGUUAGGCCCUUUGUGAUCUCAUGACUUAAAUAUCUCACUCUGUGGUUAACAUGACUUUUUUUUUGGGAUGUAACUAUGAUUAUUUCGAUUGCAAUCCCUUUUGUAUUUAAGAAUCAUUAAAUCUCUGCAAGUUACAUCCAGGAAAUGAUGGGCAAAUUAAAUAUCCAGCAACAUGUAGGGUACUCUUUGUAAGAUCAAAUACUACUGUAGAUGAUUCUCGUUUUUCGUUGUGAAGUGGAUUGCAACCUGAUGCCAGAAAUAAAUGUGAGGGAGUGGGUCCCUUACCACUGUAUCAGUGCAGAUGGGUAAAAAAAUUCAAUCAUCAUAGAUAAUUGAUUGCAGUGAUAUAUACAUUUUUUUAAAAAAUGCAGCUGCAGAAAUAUGGUAGAAUACAUGUGGAUUGCAACCUGAUGCCAGAAAUAAAUGUGAGGGAGUGGGUCCCUUACCACUAUAUCAGUGCAGAUGGGUAAAAAAAUUCAAGCAUCAUAGAUAAUUGAUUGCAAUGAUGUAUACAUUUUUUUCAAAAAUGCAGCUGCAGAAAUAUGGUAGAAUACAUGUUUAUCUAUAAUUCUAUAUAGUUCUAUAUAUAAAAUGUGUUACAAUUAUUCCCAGAAAUUUAAUUAAAAUCAGAUUAAAUAUGUUUUUAUCCUUACCUGAAUAAUUCAUAGUUUCUUCCAACUUUCUGACCACCACAUUUGAAUUGUUCAAAACUAUUCCAAUAUUGAAGCUUUGCCGAAUGCCGGUAUGCUAUCUAUGCCCGUCCAUUUUAGAUGGAUGGUGUAUGAACUAAUUUGAUAAUUCUCCACUAAUUCCAGGUAUUAGUGGCCCUGCAAGCAGCACUGAUUGUUGUUGGUAAUUUCACAAUGAGCUUUGCUACACCCCGUAUAUACAAGUCCUGUGAAGGAGAGUUAGGGACUCAGUAGUGUAUAUUAUCAUGGGUUUUUGCUUUAUUGGCUAGACAAAUCUUCAACCAUUUACGUCUUAUCACUGUGCAAGGUGAGAUUAUUAUUGUUCUUGUUCAGGCGUCGACUCUACGAAGUGAACCAUUAUUGUUCUUGUUUCUCAGUUACAGAACUUUUAUUUGUUUUUAUUUGUUAUGACAUUCAUAUAUGUGCAGGAAGUAGGGGAAAAUGGAGGAAAAAUCGAUGCUUUCUUAUUGCUGAUAGGAAUUCGAGCUAAUGAGUAGAAUGCUUAGUUCAUUGGAUGGUAUUGCUUGAAAGAGAAAUUUCCUGUGUUAAUAAUUUCUGUGGUUCAAAAAAUGUUGUGGAUCCUCGUUCAAGGCAUGGCUUGAUAUGUCAAAUUUUGAAACACUUCACAAUGCUUGGAGCUCAAGGAAAUUAUCAUCUUCAAUGUGAAGUUGAUGGGAGGUGGAUUGUCAAUGGCAGGGGAAUGAGUUUUUCAACAUAGUGAUUUGACUCUAGCCCAAUGGUUGUAAUAUAAUACAUUUUCAAGGUUAAUAUCAUCAUGUGAUCUAGCAAUAUCUUUAAA